UGCUCGUCCCUCUCUCACUCUUGCAGGCGAUCACAGCGCACGCAAUAUCAUCAAGAGACCAGAGAGGGGGAGCAGCGUUCUUUGGAUACCACCCUGCAGCUGUCCUUGUCACCCCUAGCACGGACGGCUGAGCACUCACACACAUAGACGCACACGCCGUCUCUCUUUUACCCUGCCCGUGUAGUGUUUUCUCUAGCAUUUUCUUCAUUAUUCUGGCUGCCAACGACCGCCUCCGGCGACUGUUUCAUCCUCGGUGUGUGUUUGUGUUGUGUGUGUGUGUCUCUAUGGGGAGAGUGUGGGUGUGUGGGUAUGCUUGACCCUCGGAGGGUAACAAUACGCCUUCAUCCGCACACGCAGCACGACAGUGUCGCGCAAGCUUCCUUUUCUCCUUCAUUCUUUAUCGCCCUCGCGUUGCCGUAGUGGAGUGGAUGCGCCGCUUUUUUGCAAUGAAACCCUCUGCAGUCGCCAAAACCACCACUGCCGGCGGCACCGCCGCCCAACUGCACGCACACAGCCACCGCCAUGGCGGCCAUGCCCACGCGCACAGCCACGGCAGCAUUGAGAAGGGUAUUUCAGGCAAGUACUUGCGUCAGUGCCAGGUGGCCACCUUGGCUGGUGGGGCCACAAACGUGUUCUUCUGCGUUACGAAGCUGUGGAUCGGCUCUGCUGGUGGCUCCGUUGCUCUCGUCGCCGAUGGUUUCCAUUCCCUCACAGACAUUCUCGCAGACAUCAUCUCCUACGUCGCCAUCUCGCUUUCCCGCAAGAAGCUACCGCGCUGCCGGUUCCCGCUAGGCAUCGGCCGCCUCGAAACCUCCGGCGCUGUCAUUGUGGCGGCAAUUCUCUUCUUCGGUGGUGUGGCUCUCCUUGUGCAGUCGCUCGAGCAGUGCUUCGCUGAUGUGGCAAGUCUGCUCGAGACAGCGGCGCCGACGGGUGGCAUUGCUGCCGCCCUCGCGCUCGGCGCCCGCCGUGCGAUGGCCGCGUUGAGGGGCAACUCCACGUCGGCAGGGUCCCCAGCAGGGCACGUCCACGCACACGGAUCGCACGAUCACAGCCACGAGGAAAACCACGGUGGUGGCGAUCACCAAGGCCACAGUCACUUUCAGGUGAUGACGUACGACGAGGACAUUGGGAAGCAGGUGAUUCUGUGGACCAUGGUCGGCGUCGCUACGGCAUCGGUGGUUUGUAAAGAGCUCCUGUUCCGGUGGACGCGACGUGUCGGGCUGCGCGCGGGAUCGCGUGUCGUGGUGGCCAACGCGUACCACCACCGCGCGGAUGCGUGGAGCGGGGGGGUGUCACUGCUUGGUGUAGCUGGGCAGGUGAUGGGUCUGCCUGGCGUGGACGGACUUGCUGGUCUUGCCGUGUCGCUAUCCAUCUGCAAAAUCGGCUACGGUAUUUUCAAGGACUCUGUUCUUGAGUUUUUCGACUACCAGAACGCCGAGGAGGUCAGUGCCAUUCGAGAUCAGCUGCAAAGGUUUAACCUCUGCAUCGUGCGUGGGGUGGAUGUGGUGCCCAACCACAAGUGCCAGAAUGCGGUGAAGGCGGCGGCCUCGGGAACAGAAGCUUCGUCAACGAGCUCUCCCGCCACCGCCUCGAGCUCCGAUGAUGACGAAACCGUUCACCGCAAGAAGAUGCACUUCAUCAACGUGUUUCUCGUGCGCCACGGCCACCAGUACGCCGUGCACGUCACGCUGCUCGUCUACGAGAGCGUCUCUGCGCAGCAAAUCAAGGAAGCAGCGGACCUGAUCACGGCGCUGGCCCGUCGCAGUCUGCCGGUACAGGACACCUUUACGACCCUACUCGUCUGCAGCAACUACACUGAGUCACGAGAAGUAUCCCUCGGUGGCUGCAAUGAUAAUGAAGGAGUUGACGAGGAGGGCGCAGCCGCCAUAUCGAGCGGCGCCACUGCGGCCAACUGCCAUGGCCAUUCGCGCGCAGGGUGCAGUGGCUCGUUCUCACGAGCACACGGUAGCGAGGAUAGUGCUACUUCGACUCCGCCGAUCGCUGCCACAGGUGCCAUCAUCAACCCGUCGCUCGAGCGGUGCAUCGCGUCCCUGCAGGAGUUCCACACGUUCACGGCGCCGAUUCGCUACAGCUGGGAGGAGCGCACCAUCACUGCCCCAUCGUCGGAGUCGUGCGAGUGCGAGCGCGACAUCAACUCCGUUGCUGAAAUGUUCAAGUGCCGCCUCAUCAGCGGCGAGAUCGCUUCUGCCAAGAAGACCGCCGCAGACUCGGCGAAGCGGAGCGGCCACAGUUGCUCUCACGGCGCACAGGCCGACCAUUCGCAUUAAGCUGGCGUAUGAGACGUUAGUUGCUUGUGUGUUGUUGUUUCUUCCUGUCUUGCGGAGGGCGGUGUUUGAGCUCGGCCGCCGCUCUUCCUGCAUCCGCCUCCUCUUGGGAUAUCACUUAACUCAGCGGGAAGCAGAGCUGAAAGCGUGUGCCGUAUCGUCUUCUUUUAUCCUCCACCCUCCUCUUCCCCUUUUGUGGAGCAGAAUAGGGCAAGCUGCCCGUUCCCAGACAACAACAAUGUGUGUGUGUGUGUGUCUAUUGUUUAGCAGUGAUAGUGGUGGUGGUGGCAGAUGACUCCUCCUUGCGGCGAGUUACAAUGCCACAUCUUGGAGCCCAACAAGCACAGUUGACGAGGCGGAAAUAUCGGAGGGUUGAGGAGCAGAUAUCGGAUUGGGACGCGCAUCUAUCAGGCCGUCGCCGCUUAUAAGUGCCCUCCCUUAUAUGUUGUCGUAUGCAUAUAUAUAUAAAGGAAGAUUUAUGCAAAACAUCGAAAACG
rnacentral:misc_RNA from 1 species